CUCAGGAGUCCUAUCCGAGCCAGGAAGCCUCGACCACAUUCCCGGCAUAUAUGGCUUGGUGUCCCGUUCUGACCAAUGAUGUCAACA